AUUGAACGCUGGCGGAAUGCUUUACACAUGCAAGUCGAACGGCAGCACGGGGGCAACCCUGGUGGCGAGUGGCGAACGGGUGAGUAAUACAUCGGAACGUGCCCAGUCGUGGGGGAUAACGUAGCGAAAGUUACGCUAAUACCGCAUACGAUCUAUGGAUGAAAGCGGGGGACCGUAAGGCCUCGCGCGAUUGGAGCGGCCGAUGUCAGAUUAGGUAGUUGGUGGGGUAAAGGCUCACCAAGCCGACGAUCUGUAGCUGGUCUGAGAGGACGACCAGCAACACUGGGACUGAGACACGGCCCAGACUCCUACGGGAGGCAGCAGUGGGGAAUUUUGGACAAUGGGCGCAAGCCUGAUCCAGCCAUUCCGCGUGCAGGAUGAAGGCCCUCGGGUUGUAAACUGCUUUUGUACGGAACGAAACGGUCUGCUCUAAUACAGCGGGCUAAUGACGGUACCGUAAGAAUAAGCACCGGCUAACUACGUGCCAGCCGCCGCCGUAA
rnacentral:rRNA from 1 species